rnacentral:rRNA from 1 species
GAUGAACGCUGGCGGCGUGCCUAAUGCAUGCAAGUCGAGCGACGCAUGUUCAGUCCGUAAGGACCGAGCAUGACGGAGCGGCGAACGGGUGAGUAACACGUGAGCAACCUGCCCCACAGACCGGGAUAGCCCAGGGAAACCUGGAUUAAUACCGGAUAUCCUCGGACAACCACAUGGCUGAUCGAGGAAAAGCCUUUGUGCUGUGGGAUGGGCUCGCGGCUUAUCAGCUAGUUGGUGGGGUAACGGCCCACCAAGGCGUCGACGAGUAGCUGGUCUGAGAGGACGAUCAGCCACACUGGAACUGAGACACGGUCCAGACUCCUACGGGAGGCAG